CAUUACCGAGUGAGGGCCCUCUGGGUCCAACCUCCCACCCGUGUUUAUUUUACCUUGUUGCUUCGGCGGGCCCGCCUUAACUGGCCGCCGGGGGGCUUACGCCCCCGGGCCCGCGCCCGCCGAAGACACCCUCGAACUCUGUCUGAAGAUUGUAGUCUGAGUGAAAAUAUAAAUUAUUUAAAACUUUCAACAACGGAUCUCUUGGUUCCGGCAUCGAUGAAGAACGCAGCGAAAUGCGAUACGUAAUGUGAAUUGCAAAUUCAGUGAAUCAUCGAGUCUUUGAACGCACAUUGCGCCCCCUGGUAUUCCGGGGGGCAUGCCUGUCCGAGCGUCAUUGCUGCCCUCAAGCACGGCUUGUGUGUUGGGCCCCGUCCUCCGAUCCCGGGGGACGGGCCCGAAAGGCAGCGGCGGCACCGCGUCCGGUCCUCGAGCGUAUGGGGCUUUGUCACCCGCUCUGUAGGCCCGGCCGGCGCUUGCCGAUCAACCCGAAUUUUUAUCCAGGUUGACCUCGGAUCAGGUAGGGAUACCCGCUGAACUUAAGCAUAUCAAUA
rnacentral:rRNA from 2 species